GAGAGAGACAUGCGCGCAUAUCAAUAAGCGGAGGAAAAGAAACUAACAAGGAUUCCCCUAGUAACGGCGAGUGAAGCGGGAAGAGCUCAAAUUUGAAAUCUUAAAGGGUUUCCCUUUAUGAAUUGUAGUUUAAAGAAGUGUUUUCUGUUGGAGUUUCGGUAAAAGUUCUUUGGAAUAGGACAUCAUAGAGGGUGAGAAUCCCGUAUUUGACCGUUACUUUCCAGCUGUGUGAUACACUUUCAAAGAGUCGGAUUGUUUGGGAAUGCAGUCCAAGAUGGGUGGUAAAUUUCAUCUAAAGCUAAAUAUUGGCGAGAGACCGAUAGCGAACAAGUACCGUGAGGGAAAGAUGAAAAGAACUUUGAAAAGAGGAGUUAAACAGUACGUGAAGUUGUCAAAAGGGAAGCGUUUGACACCAGUGUUGUUUAGUUGAAAAUCAAUUCAAUAGUUUUUGAUUCUAAGUAGUAUUGACUUCAUCAGCUUGCUGCUUUCUUCUCAGAAAUUAUUGAAUGCACUUUUCAGUUAACGAGUCAACAUCAAUUUCUUUUGUUGUAAAAGGGUAAGAGGAAGGUGGCUUGCGCUUCGGCUCAAGUGUUUAUAGCCUUUUAUCUCUGCAAUCGGAGAGAUUGAGGUCUGCAGCGUAGAUCCUUCGGGGUUAGAUACAUUGGUGCUAAGCUAUAGCCUUGUAUAGACAACUUGUUGACUAUGCUCAGUCAUGUAGCUUACUCGCUGAUGCUAUUUUACCUACGCUUAGGAUGUUGAUAGUCACAGCGUGUAC
rnacentral:rRNA from 1 species